rnacentral:rRNA from 1 species
GACAGAGGGUGCAAACGUUGUUCGGAAUUACUGGGCGUAAAGCGCGUGUAGGCGGCUAAGUAAGUCGGGCGUGAAAUCCCACGGCUCAACCGUGGAAGUGCACUCGAAACUGCAUAGCUAGAGUCCUGGAGAGGAAGGUGGAAUGCUUGGUGUAGAGGUGAAAUUCGUAGAUAUCAAGCGGAACACCGGUGGCGAAGGCGGCCUUCUGGACAGUGACUGACGCUGAGGCGGCGAAAAGCGUG